UCAAACGUGAGAAGAACAAUCUGAGGAGUCUCUUCUGGAGUUAGUUCACCUAGAAUUCAGUCAUAACGGAGUAUUUUAACUGUGCGAAGGUAGCAUAAUCAUUUGUCUUUUAAUUGGAGGCUGGUAUGAAUGGCUGGAUGAGGGAUUGACUUUUUUUUACUUAAAUAUAAAUUAAUUUGAUUUUUUGGUUAAAAAGCUAAAAUUAAUUUGUAGGACGAGAAGACCCUAUAGAAUUUUAUUAAUGAAUUUUAUUUGUUUUUUUGUAUUUGGUUAAUGAAUAUAAUAGAUUUAAUUUUGUUGGGGUGAUGGUGAAAUUGAUUUAACUUUCAUUUUUAUCUCUCAUUGAUUUAUGUAUCUUUUGAUCCUUUAUUAUGGAUU
rnacentral:rRNA from 1 species